rnacentral:rRNA from 1 species
UACGUAGGGCGCAAGCGUUGUCCGGAAUUACUGGGCGUAAAGGGUUCGUAGGUGGCCUGCUAAGUCAGACGUGAAAUCCCUCAGCUCAACUGGGGAACUGCGUCUGAGACUGGCAGGCUUGAGUGCAGGAGAGGAACGCGGAAUUCCAGGUGUAGCGGUGAAAUGCGUAGAUAUCUGGAGGAACACCGGUGGCGAAGGCGGCGUUCUGGACUGUUACUGACACUGAGGAACGAAAGCCAGGGGAGCAAACGGG